UACGAAGGGUGCAAGCGUUGUUCGGAUUUAUUGGGCGUAAAGCGCGCGCAGGCGGAUAAGCAAGUCAGAUGUGAAAUCUCGGGGCUCAACCUCGAAACAGCGUCUGAAACUACUGAUCUAGAAUCUUGGAGAGGGAAGGGGAAUUUCUCAUGUAGGGGUAAAAUCCGUAGAGAUGAGAAGGAACACCGGAGGCGAAGGCGCCUUCCUGGCCAAUGAUUGACGCUGAGGCGCGAAAGCGUGGGGAGCAAACAGG
rnacentral:rRNA from 1 species